GUUUUAAUAAUUUAACAUAAAAAUAUUGGUCUUGUAAACCAAAACUAAGGAAUAACCUUUUAAAACU
rnacentral:tRNA from 1 species